GACGAACGCUGGCGGCGUGCCUAAUACAUGCAAGUCGAGCGAAAAGACGAGGAGCUUGCUCCUCUCACGUUAGCGGCGGACGGGUGAGUAACACGUGGAUAACCUACCUAUAAGACUGGGAUAACUACGGGAAACCGGAGCUAAUACCGGAUAAUAUACUGAACCGCAUGGUUCAUUAGUGAAAGACGGCGUUGCUGUAACUACUAGAUGGAUAUGGGCGGCAUUAGCUAGUUGGUAAGGUAACGGCUUACCAAGGCAACGAUGCGUAGCCGACCUGAGAGGGGGAUCGGCCACACUGGAACUGGAACAGGGUCCAGACUCCUACGGGAGGCAGCAGUAGGGAAUCUUCCGCAAUGGGCGAAAGCCUUACGGAGCAACGCCGCGUGAGUGAUGAAGGUCUUCGGAUCGUAAAACUCUGUUAUUAGGGAAAAACAGAUGUGUAAGUAACUGUGCACGUCUUGACGGUACCUAAUCAGAAAGCCACGGCUAACUACGUG
rnacentral:rRNA from 1 species